CCUACGGGAGGCAGCAGUGGGGAAUCUUGCGCAAUGGGCGAAAGCCUGACGCAGCCAUGCCGCGUGAAUGAUGAAGGUCUUAGGAUUGUAAAAUUCUUUCACCGGGGACGAUAAUGACGGUACCCGGAGAAGAAGCCCCGGCUAACUUCGUGCCAGCAGCCGCGGUAAUACGAAGGGGGCUAGCGUUGCUCGGAAUUACUGGGCGUAAAGGGAGCGUAGGCGGAUAGUUUAGUCAGAGGUGAAAGCCCAGGGCUCAACCUUGGAAUUGCCUUUGAUACUGGCUAUCUUGAGUACGGAAGAGGUAUGUGGAACUCGAGUGUAGAGGUGAAAUUCGUAGAUAUUCGGAAGAACACCAGUGGCGAAGGCGACAUACUGGUCCGUUACUGACGCUGAGGCUCGAAAGCGUGGGGAGCAAACAGGAUUAGAUACCCUGGUAGUCCACGCUGUAAACGAUGAGUGCUAGUUGUCGGCANGNANGCAUGUCGGUGACGC
rnacentral:rRNA from 1 species